AGUUAAAACUUUAAGAAAAGUAAUGAGUUUUGAAAGCUUAUAAUAAGGAGUUUAAGUCUCCUAUUAACUU
rnacentral:tRNA from 1 species